CCUAGAGAAUACCAAGGCGAUCGAGUGAACCAUGGUUAAGGAACUCGGCAAAAUGCCCCCGUAACUUCGGGAGAAGGGGGGCCGGAUGCGUUACAUGGCUUGCCCAUGGAAGCGUUGAUGGCCGCAGAGACCAGGCCCAAGCGACUGUUUACUAAAAACACAGGUCCGUGCGAAGAAGUAAUUCGAUGUAUACGGACUGACGCCUGCCCGGUGCUGGAACGUUAAGGGGACAGGUUAGCUGGUUUAGGCCGGCGAAGCUUUGAACUUAAGCGCCAGUAAACGGCGGUGGUAACUAUAACCAUCCUAAGGUAGCGAAAUUCCUUGUCGGGUAAGUUCCGACCUGCACGAAUGGCGUAACGACUUGGGCGCUGUCUCAACCAUGGACUCGGCGAAAUUGCAUUACGAGUAAAGAUGCUCGUUACGCGCAGCAGGACGGAAAGACCCCGGGACCUUUACUACAACUUGGUAUUGGUGGUCGGUACAACUUGUGUAGGAUAGGUGGGAGACUGUGAAAUCCGGACGCCAGUUCGGGUGGAGUCAUCGUUGAAAUACCACUCUGGUUGUUCUGGCUGUCUAACUUCGGUCCAUUAUCUGGAUCAGGGACAGUGCCUGGUGGGUAGUUUGACUGGGGCGGUCGCCUCCUAAAAGGUAACGGAGGCGCUCAAAGGUUCCCUCAGCCUGGUUGGCAAUCAGGUGUCGAGUGUAAGUGCACAAGGGAGCUUGACUGUGAGACAGACAUGUCGAGCAGGGACGAAAGUCGGAACUAGUGAUCCGGCGGUGGCAUGUGGGAGCACCGUCGCUCAACGGAUAAAAGGUACCCCGGGGAUAACAGGCUGAUCUUCCCCAAGAGUCCAUAUCGACGGGAUGGUUUGGCACCUCGAUGUCGGCUCGUCGCAUCCUGGGGCUGGAGUAGGUCCCAAGGGUUGGGCUGUUCGCCCAUUAAAGCGGCACGCGAGCUGGGUUUAGAACGUCGUGAGACAGUUCGGUCCCUAUCCGCUGCGCGCGCAGGAGACUUGAGAAUGGCUGCCCCUAGUACGAGAGGACCGGGGUGGACGAACCUCUGGUGUGCCAGUUGCUCCGCCAGGAGCACGGCUGGUUGGCUACGUUCGGGAGUGAUAACCGCUGAAAGCAUCUAAGCGGGAAUCACGCUUCAAGAUGAGGUCUCCCACCGAGUUAAUCGGGUAAGGCCCCCAGUAGACCACUGGGUUGAUAGGCCAGAGGUGGAAGCGCCGUAAGGUGUGGAGCUGACUGGUACUAAUAGGCCGAGGGCUUGUCC
rnacentral:rRNA from 1 species